GGGGCGGCGGGGGGUUGCAGGAAGUCUCGCAGAGUUAAAAGUAGAGGACAGGGCUAUUGAGGAGGCAGAGGGAACACGAGCAAGUCUUAACAGCAGUGUUGGAAACCUUAGUGAGAGGACAUGACACUGCUUUGUUAUUAUUACUGUUGUUAUUGUUAUUAUUUGCAGAUCCAGCUCUGCAGUUCAUGGGGGAGAGAGGCCACAGGCAAAAUAGUAAUUCUGUGAAGACAACAAUACUCAUCUUAAAGAGCUGUUUAUAAGGCUCUAACUAAAUGAGAUAAUUGAUACAAAGGGUAUGUGGCGCAUAGCAUAGGCCUUUUUCUCUGACCCCACCUUCCAUUGACACCGACAAACUCUUGCCCCCUAAUGAGUUUGCUGCAUCUCAUGAGGUCCCUGAACACCAUCUGCAGGUGCCGGAGGUAAGCCCUGUCGGACUGGAUGGUUUCAUACAGGGCGAGCACAAGCUGUUGUGGAAAGUUAUGUAAAACCAAGCAGACGCAAAGACCAAGGCAUGGUGGGGACAGGGCCCAGGAACCCUACGACAGCCCUGCCCUUCAAGCCUCUCCCAUCUCUGCAACACCUGGAUGCUUCCUGAAAAGGUUUGCUAACCCCUGAUGUCGAGGAAAGAACACGUCGCUCUAAGCCUUGGAUCAGACAACUUGGAAUCCACACUCGUUUUGAUAAUCUACCUUUCAAAGUUUUCAUUUCUCUUCUGAGAAAUGGGAGACUGUAUUCCUGGGGCCAACUGACCACUGAGCUCACUAAUUACGAUAAUUUAUGACACUGAAUAAAAUCAUGAAUGUGAAAAUGCACGUGAAGCUGUAAGAAGUUACACAGAAUGUUCAAUAUCAUUAGGGCUGUUUUCAAAGUAUCUGGCAAAAGAGAGACGGCCAAGAAAGUUGUUUUUUCCUCAAUAGAGGUGAAGAGGAAAUAAAUAAUAAUGAUUGCCAAAGAGUUCAUUAGUCUUUUUAUUUGUGUCAGUUAAUGUAUAGUUUGGAGGUGCUAUAAGCUGGGUUACUAAGAUUAAAGUGAAAGAAGUAAAAUCCACAGCCACCUUGAGGAUGGACUGAAAAAAGGUGUUAGGGGUGAGGUACAGCCAGGUAUUGUGGCAGUUAGAGGGGAGGCGGGCACAGGUCUGAGGGGAUGCCUACCUACCUGGGAGCUACAGAGUGGAACUGGCAGAAGGCAAGAAUGGGAAGACAAAUUCAGGAAAUACUGCAUUUAUAACAGCAGUUACGCAUUGUUUAUCUGAAAUGCAAACCUAGCCGGGCAUUUUAUAGUUUUAUUUGUGAAAUCUGGCAACUCUCCCCACUCUGUGUUGUUC
rnacentral:lncRNA from 1 species